GGGGCUGUAGCUCAGUGGUAAAGUGCUUGCCUCGAACGUAUGAGGAACUGGGUUCAAUCCUCAGCACCACA
rnacentral:tRNA from 1 species